AUUUUUUUAUUUUUUUUUUGCAAUUGUAGUUGUUGUUGUUGCUUCCAUUUCAUCCUUAGCACCCAAAAAGAAAUGUUAAUGAGAUUGAAGCACACAAAGAGAAAAUUCAAUUAAAAAGCGCUUCUCAAAUAUUCAUUAUGUCAGAUCUAAUGUUGUUCCUGUUUUUCUUGAAGUGGGUGCUGUUAAUUAGCGCACAAAAAUCAGCUGCGGUUUUUUGUCUUGAGCCCAAACAGGAAUAAAACUUGCCAAAUGCCACAGCAGUUGUCGCAAGUGCCACAAGAGCUCAGUUAGAGAUGCGGAUAGAGCAAAAGAGAGGCAAAUGGCCCAGCGUAGAGGAGCGUUGAGUGAGACAAGGACAUUGCCAAAGUUGUGCCAUGUUUUAUGAGCAAAGUUGUUGCUUAAAAACCACUUGAAGCAGCUCACAAAUUGUGGUUAUUGUGGUUGUUGCCGUUGUUGUUGCUGUUCCUGCUGCUGCCUUUUGUGGCAUGAUGAAUUGUCAUGAAAUUUAAUCAAUUUAUUUGAAACGUGCGCCGGCACGAGACGUUUUAGCCCAUAAAUAACGCCGGCUAAACUAAAAAUGUGACAAUGCCAAAGUGUCAAAGUAAAUAACAAACAAUGAAAA